rnacentral:rRNA from 1 species
CGUCUAUAUACGUAUAGCAUAUCAAUAAGCGGAGGAAAAGAAACUAACAAGGAUUCCCUUAGUAACGGCGAGUGAAGCGGGAAGAGCUCAAAUUUGAAAUCUUCAAGGUUUACCUUGACGAAUUGUAGUUUAAAGAAGUGUUUUCUGUUAGAGAGUUUGUAAAAGUUCUUGGAAUAGGACAUCAUAGAGGGUGAGAAUCCCGUAUUUGACCUAUUAUUUUCUAGCUUUGUGAUACACUUUCAAAGAGUCGGAUUGUUUGGGAAUGCAGUCCAAAAUGGGUGGUAAAUUUCAUCUAAAGCUAAAUAUUGGCGAGAGACCGAUAGCGAACAAGCACCGUGAGGGAAAGAUGAAAAGAACUUUGAAAAGAGAGUUAAACAGUACGUGAAAUUGUCAAAAGGGAAGCGUUUGACACCAGUGUUGUUUUUCCGAAAAUCAAUUAAGAGUGGCUUGAUUUUGUGUUGUAUUGACCUUAUCAGCUUUCUUCACUCUUUUUCGAGUCUUUCUUAAUGCACUUUUCGGUUAACAAGUCAACAUCAAUUUCUUUUGUUGUAAAAGGGUAUUUGGAAGGUGGCUUUCUUUUCGGAGAAAGUGUUUAUAGCCUUAUACCUCUACAAUCGGAGAGAUUGAGGUCUGCAGCGUAGAUCCUUCGGGGCUAGAUACACUUGUGCUAAGUUAUAGCUUUUCAUAGACAACUUGUUGACUAUGUUUAGUCAUGUAGCUUACCCGCUUGUGCUAUUUUACCUACGCUUAGGAUGUUGAGUCAUCACACAUCUCU